rnacentral:rRNA from 1 species
GAUGAACGCUGGCUACAGGCUUAACACAUGCAAGUCGAGGGGAAACGCCGGGGAAGCUUGCUUCCCCGGGCGUCGACCGGCGCACGGGUGAGUAACGCGUAUCCAACCUGCCUCUGACUGAGGGAUAACCCGUCGAAAGUCGGCCUAAUACCUCAUGGCAUCGUCUGCGGGCAUCCAACGACGAUUAAAGAUUUCAUCGGUCAGAGAUGGGGAUGCGUCUGAUUAGCUUGUUGGCGGGGUAACGGCCCACCAAGGCGACGAUCAGUAGGGGUUCUGAGAGGAAGGUCCCCCAGAUGGGAACUGAGACACGGUCCAAACUCCUACGGGAGGCAGCAGUGAGGAAUAUGGGUCAAUGGGCGAGAGCCUGAACCAGCCAAGUAGCGUGCAGGAUGACGGCCCUAUGGGUUGUAAACUGCUUUUAGGCGGGGAUAAAGUGAGGGACGGGUCCUUCAUUGAAGGUACCGCAUGAAUAAGGACCGGCUAAUUCCGUG